rnacentral:lncRNA from 1 species
ACUUAAUCCGAAAAUAAUUACUCAAUCAAAUUGAGUUAAUUAGUGAUCAAAUCACUAAUUAAAUCUCUCAUAAAUACUGAGUCCAAAUUUGAUGGGCAAUCAGGCAUCAGAAUUCAUCGAUAUGUAACCCUGAUCGAAAAGUCCCAACCAGUGGGACUCUUGACCCCGGUACCCAUAAUGUGUGGAACUCGUGAUAAGAGAAUCCUGAUUCUCGAUCACUGAGUCCCAAACAUGUAGGAUUUUACAUCAGCCAUCAGAUCAGAUAGGAACCUCUAAUGUGUGUGACCCC